AAUCUGGCGUGCUCAGUGCGUCCGAGUUGUAAUCUAUAGAGGCGUUUUCCGUGCCGGACUGUGUCUAAGUCCCUUGGAACAGGGUAUCAAAGAGGGUGAUAAUCCCGUACUUGACACAAUGACCGGUGCUCUGUGAUACGUCUUCUACGAGUCGAGUUGUUUGGGAAUGCAGCUCAAAAUGGGUGGUGAGUUCCAUCUAAAGCUAAAUAUUGGCGAGAGACCGAUAGCGAACAAGUACCGUGAGGGAAAGAUGAAAAGCACUUUGGAAAGAGAGUUAAACAGUACGUGAAAUUGUUGAAAGGGAAACGAUUGAAGUCAGUCGUGACUGAGAGGCUCAGCCGGUUCUGCCGGUGUAUUCCCCUCAGUCAGGUCAACAUCAGUUUUGUUCGGUGGAUAAGGGCAGCUGGAAGGUGGCACCUCCGGGUGUGUUAUAGCCAGCUGUCGCAUACAUCGAAUGAGACUGAGGAAUGCAGCUCGCCUUUAUGGCCGGGGUUCGCCCACGUCCGAGCUUAGGAUGUUGACAUAAUGGCUUUAAACGACC
rnacentral:rRNA from 1 species